AUUGAACGCUGGCGGCAUGCCUUACACAUGCAAGUCGAACGGUAACAGGUCUUCGGAUGCUGACGAGUGGCGAACGGGUGAGUAAUACAUCGGAACGUGCCCGAUCGUGGGGGAUAACGAAGCGAAAGCUUUGCUAAUACCGCAUACGAUCUACGGAUGAAAGCGGGGGAUCUUCGGACCUCGCGCGGACGGAGCGGCCGAUGGCAGAUUAGGUAGUUGGUGGGAUAAAAGCUUACCAAGCCGACGAUCUGUAGCUGGUCUGAGAGGAUGAUCAGCCACACUGGGACUGAGACACGGCCCAGACUCCUACGGGAGGCAGCAGUGGGGAAUUUUGGACAAUGGGCGCAAGCCUGAUCCAGCCAUGCCGCGUGCAGGAUGAAGGCCUUCGGGUUGUAAACUACUUUUGUACGGAACGAAAAGGUGCCUUCUAAUAAAGGGCGCUCAUGACGGUACCGUAAGAAUAAGCACCGGCUAACUACGUG
rnacentral:rRNA from 1 species